GUCAGUGCCCUUGGGACUUUGAGGGCCCUUGAGUAAGAACAGAGUCAGCAGAGUCAGCCCACAAUGCUGUGUUCAAAAUAUCAGCCAAAAGGAGCAGGAUCUGCUGUGUCAGCUAAAGCUGCAGGACAAAGCCCCCCAAACUCGAUGGCGUCCAAGAACAAACACCACCUGUGCCCCAUACACCUGGAAUCAGCAGGUAGCCCUGCUGACUGACCAGACUAAGGACACAUGUGCAGCGCCACGGCAGAACCGAACCAUCUGUGCACUGCACGGCACACACCGCCUCCUGCACUGCAAGGCCCAGGCCGCACGGACGUCCGGGCACGGCUGGUUUUUAUCAUGCAGGGCUGUGGACUGAACUGCGACCCCCAGCAAUGACACACUGAAGCCCUGACCCUGGGGGUGACAGUGAGGCCCCAG
rnacentral:lncRNA from 1 species